UGGACAACCUGAUAAUUAUUACGGCAAUGAGAACUGUGCCAUAAUUGUUAAUGGAAAGUUUUAUGAUUUACCCUGUAGCUACCAGUACUAUUUCUUAUGUCAUACCAAUUUCCCAACAAGGAGUCAGAUAAUGAGAUUGCAGGUUCAGUCAGAUGUGAGUGUAUUUGAUCCGUCAUCCAUUUUAGAUCAGAUUAAGCAAAAACUGAAGGAAAAUAGCAUGUUGCAGAACACCACAGUGACCUGGAGUGUGCAGCCAGAUGGAAACAUCUUCCACAAGAAAAGAAAGGAUGACCUGUAAUGGCUAAAUGCUCACCUUUUCAUAUAGAUUUAAAUUAGACCUAAAACUUAUUAGAUAUACAACC